AUUACCGAGUUUACAACUCCCAAACCCCUGUGAACAUACCUCUUCGUUGCCUCGGCGGGACUCGCCCCGGCGCCCCUCGGGCCCGGACCCAGGCGCCCGCCGGAGGACCCAAACUCAUGUCUCUUGCGAGUAUCUUCUGAGUGACACAAGUAAAUACAAUCAAAACUUUCAACAACGGAUCUCUUGGUUCUGGCAUCGAUGAAGAACGCAGCGAAAUGCGAUAAGUAAUGUGAAUUGCAGAAUUCAGUGAAUCAUCGAAUCUUUGAACGCACAUUGCGCCCGCCAGUAUUCUGGCGGGCAUGCCUGUUCGAGCGUCAUUUCACCCCUCAAGCCCCCGGGCUUGGUGUUGGGGAUCGGCCCGCCCCUGGCGGCGGCGCCGGCCCCGAAAUCGAGUGGCGGUCUCGCUGCAGCCUCCUCUGCGUAGUAGCAUACACCUCGCACCGGGACGCAGCGCGGCCACGCCGUGAAACCCCCAACUUUCUCAAGGUUGACCUCGAAUCAGG
rnacentral:rRNA from 1 species